rnacentral:piRNA from 1 species
UACAAGGAAGGUAGAAGCCACCUAUCUCUGU